rnacentral:rRNA from 1 species
AGAGUUUGAUCCUGGCUCAGAACGAACGCUGGCGGCAUGGCUAAAACAUGCAAGUCGAACGCGAAAGUCCCCUUCGGGGGGCGAGUAGAGUGGCGAAAGGGCGAGUAAUGCAUGGGUAACGUACCCCGGGCACGAGGAUAGCCCGCCGAAAGGCGGGGUAAUACUUGAUGAGACCACGAUCCCAUAUGGGACAGCGGUCAAAGGGUGGGGACUCCUUCGGGAGCCUGCCGGCCUGGGAGCGGCCCAUGUCCUAUCAGCUUGUUGGUGGGGUAAAGGCCCACCAAGGCUACGACGGGUAGCGGGACUGAGAGGUUGACCCGCCGCAUUGGGACUGAGACACUGCCCAGACUCCUACGGGAGGCUGCAGUAACGAAUAUUGGACAAUGGGCGAAAGCCUGAUCCAGCAAUGCCGCGUGUGGGAAUAAGCUCUUCGGGGUGUAAACCACUGUUAGGGACUACCAAGCAAUGAGGGUCAAUAACCCUCGGCGUUGAGGAAUCCCCAAGGAAGCCACGGCUAACUUCGUGCCAGCAGCCGCGGUAAGACGAAGGUGGCUAGCGUUGUUCGGAAUCACUGGGCUUAAAGAGCGCGUAGGCGGCCCGUCAAGCGUCUUGUGAAAUCCCCCGGCUCAACCGAGGAAUUGCUUGGCGAACUGACGGACUUGAGACAGGCAGGGGCGAGUGGAACUCUUGGUGGAGCGGUGGAAUGCGUAGAUAUCAAGAGGAACACCAGCGGUGAAGACGGCUCGCUGGGCCUGUUCUGACGCUGAGGCGCGAAAGCCAGGGGAGCGAACGGGAUUAGAUACCCCGGUAGUCCUGGCCCUAAACGAUGUCCACUAGGUCGAUGGUUCUCUGACGGAUUGUCGGCCGAAAUAAAAACGUUAAGUGGACCGCCUGGGGAGUACGGUCGCAAGGCUAAAACUCAAAGGAAUUGACGGGGGCUCACACAAGCGGUGGAGCAUGUUGCUUAAUUCGAUCAACGCGAAGAACCUUAUCCUGGGCUUGACAUAUACGGAUGCCGGCUGGGAAACCAGUUUGGUUGCCUUUCGGGGUGAAACGUAAACAGGUGCUGCAUGGCUGUCGUCAGCUCGUGUCGUGAGAUGUUGGGUUAAGUCCCGUAACGAGCGAAACCCUUGUCGUUAGUUGCCAGCGGGUCAUGCCGGGGACUCUAGCGAGACUGCCGGUGUUAAACCGGAGGAAGGUGGGGAUGACGUCAAGUCCUCAUGGCCUUUAUGCCCAGGGCUGCAAACGUGCUACAAUGGUCGAUACAAACUGACGCAAUGCCGCGAGGCGGAGCAAAUCGGAAAAAGUCGGCCUCAGUUCGGAUUGGAGUCUGCAACUCGACUCCAUGAAGUUGGAAUCGCUAGUAAUCGUAGAUCAGCGAUGCUACGGUGAAUGUGUUCCUGAGCCUUGUACACACCGCCCGUCAAGUCAUGGAAGCUGGUAGCGCCCGAAGUCGGCACGAUUCAGUGCUGCCGAAGGUGAGAUCGGUAACUGGGACUAAGUCGUAACAAGGUA